GCAAAGCCUGUUCUCAAGUAAAUACAGACAAGGUUACAUCAUAUAGCAGCUCCGUUACAGGGAAACAGUUUUCUAUUAAAUCAGAGAUUGGCUGCCGCUCGGACUGUGUUGUGUAUUUGCUUCAGUGCCCAUGCGGCAGCCAAUAUGUUGGUCGUACAAAGAGAUGUCUAAAAGUGAGACUUUUGGAACAUAUUAACAACAUAAAGAAAAAAUUAGAUACUCAUUCAGUCCCCC